rnacentral:lncRNA from 1 species
GCAUGGACAGCCUCCACCUUGUUAUCAUUCUUAUUUUCCUUCUAAAGAACACUACUUUCAAGAAUUUUGUCCAGCAACAUAUGUUCUACUAUUUUCUCUUAAAACAAAAUGUUGUAUUCCCAUCCAAAAUGAAGCUCCCACAAAGUUCCACUAGGCACUAGUAGAUGAUAAUCACAUAACUGAACCAUCAAGGGUUUGUAACAAGAGUGCUUUCUAAUUCAAACCAAGGUGAACUAAGAUCAAAACCAUCCAUGCCAACCACUACAAUUAAGGUGUAGUCAGGCUCAACAAAAAUGCUAAUAAAAAUGUGUUCAUAAAAUAACAGAAAUAGGAAAACAAAUCCCACAAGUAGAUACUUGAAUCGCAACCCAAAAUAUAAUGAGCCAUAAGACCCCAGAACGUACAUUCCCAAAUUCCAACGAUUACUAAUGAAUUAUUUGUUUGUUUCCUAUUUUCUUUCUUCAGAGAUGAGCAUGCAUAAUUACGCGGUAUACACUCAAUUAAAAUCAGGUUAUGCUUAGGCGAAUCUCUAAUUUCUUAGAUUGGUAACAAAAACCAUUGUGCUCAAACUCAAUGAGACAUUACUGAAGGGGAACUAGAAUAGUAGAGGAGAGGCGACGCGCUAACCUUGGCAACCAUGCGUUGGAAAGUGAUGUCUUCAUCGUCUAUCCUAUCUUUCCCUUUGCCCCACUUCUUAUCUG